UGCCUAAUACAUGCAAGUCGAGCGAACAGACGAGGAGCUUGCUCCUCUGGCGUUAGCGGCGGACGGGUGAGUAACACGUGGAUAACCUACCUAUAAGACUGGGAUAACUUCGGGAAACCGGAGCUAAUACCGGAUAACAUGUUGAACCGCAUGGUUCAACAGUGAAAGACGGUCUUGCUGUCACUUAUAGAUGGAUCCGCGCCGCAUUAGCUAGUUGGUAAGGUAACGGCUUACCAAGGCAACGAUGCGUAGCCGACCUGAGAGGGUGAUCGGCCACACUGGAACUGAGACACGGUCCAGACUCCUACGGGAGGCAGCAGUAGGGAAUCUUCCGCAAUGGGCGAAAGCCUGACGGAGCAACGCCGCGUGAGUGAAGAAGGUCUUCGGAUCGUAAAACUCUGUUAUUAGGGAAGAACAAAUGUGUAAGUAACUAUGCACGUCUUGACGGUACCUAAUCAGAAAGCCACGGCUAACUACGUGCCAGCAGCCGCGGUAAUACGUAGGUGGCAAGCGUUAUCCGGAAUUAUUGGGCGUAAAGCGCGCGUAGGCGGUUUUUUAAGUCUGAUGUGAAAGCCCACGGCUCAACCGUGGAGGGUCAUUGGAAACUGGAAAACUUGAGUGCAGAAGAGGAAAGUGGAAUUCCAUGUGUAGCGGUGAAAUGCGCAGAGAUAUGGAGGAACACCAGUGGCGAAGGCGACUUUCUGGUCUGUAACUGACGCUGAUGUGCGAAAGCGUGGGGAUCAAACAGGAUUAGAUACCCUGGUAGUCCACGCCGUAAACGAUGAGUGCUAAGUGUUAGGGGGUUUCCGCCCCUUAGUGCUGCAGCUAACGCAUUAAGCACUCCGCCUGGGGAGUACGACCGCAAGGUUGAAACUCAAAGGAAUUGACGGGGACCCGCACAAGCGGUGGAGCAUGUGGUUUAAUUCGAAGCAACGCGAAGAACCUUACCAAAUCUUGACAUCCUCUGACCCCUCUAGAGAUAGAGUUUUCCCCUUCGGGGGACAGAGUGACAGGUGGUGCAUGGUUGUCGUCAGCUCGUGUCGUGAGAUGUUGGGUUAAGUCCCGCAACGAGCGCAACCCUUAAGCUUAGUUGCCAUCAUUAAGUUGGGCACUCUAAGUUGACUGCCGGUGACAAACCGGAGGAAGGUGGGGAUGACGUCAAAUCAUCAUGCCCCUUAUGAUUUGGGCUACACACGUGCUACAAUGGACAAUACAAAGGGCAGCGAAACCGCGAGGUCAAGCAAAUCCCAUAAAGUUGUUCUCAGUUCGGAUUGUAGUCUGCAACUCGACUACAUGAAGCUGGAAUCGCUAGUAAUCGUAGAUCAGCAUGCUACGGUGAAUACGUUCCCGGGUCUUGUACACACCGCCCGUCACACCACGAGAGUUUGUAACACCCGAAGCCGGUGGAGUAACCUUUUGGAGCUAGCCGUCGAAGGUGGGACAAAUGAUUGGGGUGAAAUCA
rnacentral:rRNA from 1 species